GUGGAUUAGAUACCCUGGUAGUCCACGCCCUAAACGAUGCGAACUAGGUGUUGGGGAAGGAGACUUCUUUAGUACCGUAGCUAACGCGUGAAGUUCGCCGCCUGGGGAGUACGGUCGCAAGAUUAAAACUCAAAGGAAUUGACGGGGACCCGCACAAGCGGUGGAUGAUGUGGAUUAAUUCGAUGCAACGCGAAAAACCUUACCUACCCUUGACAUGUCCGGAAGGCCGCAGAGAUGUGGCUGUGCCCGAAAUGGAAUCGGAACACAGGUGCUGCACGGCGGUCGACAGCU
rnacentral:rRNA from 1 species